AGAGUCCCUGAUUGCUAUUUUCCAGAAAUAGGCUGGAAAGGAUGGUUACGAUAGCAUUCACUCCAAGAUGGAGUUCCCAAGCUUCAUGAAUACAGAACUGGAUGCCUUCAUGAAGAACCAGAGGCCCCCAGUGUCUUUGACCACAUGAUGAAGAAACUGGACCUCACUAGUGAUGGGCAGCUGGAUUUCCAAGAAUGUCUGCAUCUGAUGGAUGGCAUGACUGUGGCUUACCAUGACUCUUUUCUCAAGGCUGCCCAUUCCAAGAAGCGGA
rnacentral:lncRNA from 1 species